rnacentral:rRNA from 1 species
GACGAACGCUGGCGGCGUGCUUAACACAUGCAAGUCGAACGGAAAGGCCCUGCGUUUGUGGGGUGCUCGAGUGGCGAACGGGUGAGUAACACGUGAGUAACCUGCCCUUGACUGUGGGAUAACUUCAGGAAACUGGGGCUAAUACCGGAUAGGAGCUCCUGCUGCAUGGGGGGGGUUGGAAAGUUUCGGCGGUGGGGGAUGGACUCGCGGCUUAUCAGCUUGUUGGUGGGGUAGUGGCUUACCAAGGCUUUGACGGGUAGCCGGCCUGAGAGGGUGACCGGCCACAUUGGGCCUGAGAUACGGCCCAGACUCCUACGGUAGGCAGCAGUGGGGAAUAUUGCACAAUGGGCGGACGCCUGAUGCAGCAACGCCGCGUGCGGGAUGACGGCCUUCGGGUUGUAAACCGCUUUCGCCUGUGACGAAGCGUGAGUGACGGUAAUGGGUAAAGAAGCACCGGCUAACUACGUG